rnacentral:rRNA from 1 species
UACGAAGGGGGCUAGCGUUGUUCGGAAUUACUGGGCGUAAAGCGCACGUAGGCGGACUAUUAAGUCAGGGGUGAAAUCCCGGGGCUCAACCCCGGAACUGCCUUUGAUACUGGUAGUCUCGAGUCCGGAAGAGGUGAGUGGAAUUCCGAGUGUAGAGGUGAAAUUCGUAGAGAUGCGGAGGAACACCGAUGGCGAAGGCAGCCCCCUGGGCUGACACUGACGCUCAGGCACGAAAGCGUGGGGAGCAAACAGG